ACCUCUUGAAGAUCUUGUUACAGGUCCUAUAAAGUCAAUUUGAAUAUCAGACCAGGGUAAUGACACCCCCCUCUUCUGAAGUGGUGCACGAUGGGUUGCACCAUGGGGUUGAUAUUGCGGACAAAUCAAGCAUCCCUGACAGUAUGUCUUAACAUCUCUUAACAUGUGUGGCCAAUAUGCAUAAUCACGCAAUAUCUCAUAUGUGAUCUUAUCACCACGAUGCCCAGAUGUAGGUGCAUCAUGUGCGUGUUGGAGCAUUAACCCUCUGUAUACAGUUGGG